GUCUGGUGCCAGCAGCCGCGGUAAUUCCAGCUCCAAUAGCGUAUAUUAAAGUUGUUGCAGUUAAAAAGCUCGUAGUUGAAUUUCGGGAUUGACGMGUCGGUCGUGCCUUAAGGGGUAUAAACUGUCGCCGUUGAUUUCUCACCUUCUGGAGAAGCUCGAUGUCCUUAAUUGGGUGUCGUGUGGAACCAGGACCUUUACAUUGAAAAAAUUAGAGUGAAAAAAGAACGCA
rnacentral:rRNA from 1 species